CAAAUAAGAGUAGAUGGUGGAUGCCUUGACGGCAGAAGACGAUGAAGGACGUGGCUACCGGCGAUACGCUUCGGGGAGGUGGUGAGCAACCUUUGAUCCGGAGAUUUCCGAAUGGGGUAACCCAGUCCGAGUAAUGUCGGGCUACUGAACGCUGAAUCUAUAGGUGUUCAGAGACAACCCAGGGAAUUGAAACAUCUUAGUACCUGGAGGAAAAGAAAAAAACAGCAGUACAUUUUCCGUUUUCCAGCGAUGAGCUUGUCCAAGUUUUUGUGACAAGUCUAUUGCUGGCGAAGUGCACUGUAUAUUCCCUUAGUAGCGGCGAGCGAACCGGGAAGAGCCCAAACCUUAGAGAGCUUUUGUAAGAGCGACUGGAACGAAAGAACUAGAAGCUUUUAUUUGACGGCUGUAGGGCCAAUGCUUUUUAAGGGGUUGUGAAAAAGUGGCGAUGACGCGCCUAUAACGCACCAGACAGAGUAAGCAGCUUCGGCUGAAUAACUUCCCUAGAAGAAAGCCCUGGAACGGGCUGCCAAAGAAGGUGAUAGCCCUGUACUCAAAAGGGGUUAUUGCUCUGUGGUCAUUUAUUUCAAGUACCACGAGGCUCGAGAAACCUUGUGGGAAGCAGGGUCGACUAUGACCCAAGGCUAAAUACUUCUGACGAUCGAUAGUGAACCAGUACCGUGAGGGAAAGGUGAAAAGCACCCCGAUGAGGGGAAUGAAAUAGUAUCUGAAACCAUCUACUUACAAGGAGUCAGAGCCCCGCACCUAUUUUGCUACCGAGAGCGGUAGAAAAAAGGUGAGGAAGCAACUACACGUCGGCGAAAUGCCGGUGGCGCUGGCCCGAAUAGGGCCGGGCGAUUUGCCCGCGCGCCGCCCAGAUUUUCGGCGGCAAAAUAGGUGCGGGGUAAUGGCGUUCCUAUUGAAGAAUGAGCCAACGAGUUUCUACGGUAUCGCUCGUCUAAGCCCGUGUAGGGUGGAGGCAUAGUGAAAGCGAGCGUGAAUAGCGCGAAUGCCGAUGCAUAGCAUCGGGAAGCACGAAUAUCGAAUCUUUAAUCUCUAAACAAUAUCGAAGCACGAAUGUUUCAAACAACAAACGCGUUUGGAAUUUCGAAUUUGUGAUUUGUUUAGAGUUUAGGAUUUUUCGCCCAAGGCGGAUCAGCCUCUGGCUGAAGUAUUUCGUAUUUCCGCUGCUAUGCAGCGGUCAGGCGGUAUCGAGAAGACCCGAAGCCGGGUGACCUAGCCAUGGCCAGGAUGAACUCCCGCGAAAGCGGGAGGGAGGUCCGAACCCACGCGCCGUGCAACACGCGGGGAUGAGUUGUGGCUAGCGGAGAAAUUCCAAUCGAACUCGGCGAUAGCUGGUUCUCCCCGAAAUAGCUUUUGGGCUAGCGUCGCGAUGGCGUCCAGGGGUAGAGCACUGAAUGAGAACCGGUGGCUUCGGCCUACGGUUUUCAACCAAACUCCGAAUACUGGAAGUGCUAUAUCGCGAUAGUCAGUCUAUGGGGGCUAAGCUCCAUCAGACAAAAGGGAAACAGCCCAUGACCGGCAAAUAAGGUCCCUAAAUUUCUUCGUACCUGCGGGUACGAAGCCCCGUACCUUUCAGCCUUUGUGGUUGAAAAGAUGGCGGGAGCGAGCAAGUGACAUCACGUUACCCACAAGGGUCGCGUUCUGGGAUUUGAUACCCCGGGUAAAAUGUCCGACCUCAGCUCCCGCCUCUCCUCCUCAAAGCAUGAGGGUUGAAAGGUGCGGGGGGAUUAAGUGUCAAAGGUGGUGUUAUGAUGAUGACAACCAGGAGGUUGGCUUAGAAGCAGCCAUCCUUUAAAGAAAGCGUAACAGCUCACU
rnacentral:rRNA from 1 species